AAAGGUAAUUGUGGAGGGAGACUUUGGCACUGGAUUUUUGGUUAACAGUCGUCCCCAAAAUUAGCAUUGGUGAAUAAAAACUCAUUAUUUUGCAUAGUUCAAGAAUAAAUUUGUCCAGAAAUUUAUAAGAUGUUAUAUUGUAUUAAUCCUCACGAAUUAGCUCUAGCGGUGAAGGGGUAGGGUAAACGUUAUAGGAUUUGUUGAUGCAGAAAAUAAUAAGGUUUUGGAAUAAUCUAAAAUAUUAAGUUUGUGACAUUCGCAAGGUUAUUCUAGUUACCUAGUGAGGAUAAUAUGUACAGAGGUAGAGAUAGGGAAGUAAACACAAGACAUGCGUGAUUUAUCUUAAGUUGAACUUCAUCCACAAGGGUAGAUGAGUUCUCAUUAAUAUUGAAGAGUUUACACAAUACAUAUAUUCAAACAUAAUCAUCAUUAGUGAGUUCCAAUGACAAGUUUAAAUACAAUAAUGACAUUACUUCCUAAUUGUAGGAGAAUGAUUUCCUUUUAUAGUUAACGAGAGUCCUCUGCUUCUGUCCACGGUCGAUGUGAGAUUCUAAGAACUUUAUUAUGAUGUUGACACGUAUCGCGUUGUGAUUGUCUCAUGAUUUGAGAUAAACCCUUAUGCUUUGGCAGAGGUGCCUCAACAUGAAUUCUUCAAUAGGUCCCUGGACGUAUGGAGUUGUCGGUGCUCGAUAAUUUCAGGAUUGGUGAAGUAUGGUACAAACAAUACUCCUCCAAGUUCCCAAGUGAGGAAAACUUCUCAAUUAGGGACUUGUAAAACUCAAGUCACUGAGUAAUCAUAAAACUUCUGAUUACCUAAGUGUAGUACAUAUGAGGGACUAGGAUUCUCUACCCUCAUCUUUCCAUCAUCUCCUCUUACAUUCUCUAUUUUGUCUUUUUCUUUUUAUAAAAAACUAAUAAAAAAUAUUGAUAUGGUUUAACCGUAACUGUUCAAAUAAGAAAGAAAUGAAGAAGAGGAAAAAAUUGAGAGAACCAUACUCCCAUAAUGAGAGUCCCUUAAGUCUCCAAUCGAGAAGAAUAGUCUAAGGAGGUGACUUGAUUUUUGUCCAUGUGUGAAGGGGUCAAAGUUCCACCCUUUUCCUUUCCUUGCUUUUUCUAACAUGUCCCAACUUUUUUAUUUAUUUAAAGUGGGAGCCUAAAACCUUUUUUGUUCUAUCAGUUAGGUCCA
rnacentral:lncRNA from 1 species